UACAGAGGUCUCAAGCGUUGUUCGGAAUCACUGGGCGUAAAGCGUGCGUAGGCUGUUUCGUAAGUCGUGUGUGAAAGGCGCGGGCUCAACCCGCGGACGGCACAUGAUACUGCGAGACUAGAGUAAUGGAGGGGGAACCGGAAUUCUCGGUGUAGCAGUGAAAUGCGUAGAUAUCGAGAGGAACACUCGUGGCGAAGGCGGGUUCCUGGACAUUAACUGACGCUGAGGCACGAAGGCCAGGGGAGCGAAGGGG
rnacentral:rRNA from 1 species